GGCGGUGAGAUCACAGCUCAACUGUCAGCAGUCCUGCUGGAAGAGCUCGGUAUCAAAAAGUUCCUACUGGACAGACCUUGUCAGGACUACCUGGAACCGUACAGGGGCGCUGUGGGGGGAUGGAACAAUGCUUGUCCUGAAAACAUCACCCUGCCAGCUCUGCCUCCCAACGUCUUCUGUCACGUGACCGACUACUGUACCGGGGUCACGUGUUGUGUCAAGGUGUCACAGGUCAAACAGAACUUCAAUGCCUACCUCUUCCUGGACUCCUGCAACUACAACUUGAGAGUCGGUAUUGAGAAGCUGGAGUUCAGUCACACACUGUUUAACUAUACAUGGGGUGAAACAGAAGUUAUUGAUCUUGGAGGACUUGUAAGACUUGA